GUCAUAGUAUAGUAAGGUGUCAAAAACCAUGAAAAAAUGUCAUAGUAUAGUAAGGCGUCAAAAAAUGUGAAAAAAUGUCAUAGUAUAGUAAGGUGUCAAAAACCAUGAAAAAAUGUCAUAGUAUAGUAAGGCGUCAAAAAAUGUGAAAAAAUGUCAUAGUAUACUAAGGUGUCAAAAACGGCCAAAAAAUGUCAUAGUAUAGUAAGGCGUCAAAAAAUGUGAAAAAAUGUCCUAGUAUAGUAAGGCGUCAAAAAAUGUGAAAAAAUGUCAUAGUAUAGUAAGGUGUCAAAAACGGCCAAAAAAUGUCAUAGUAUAGUAAGGCGUCAAAAAAUGUGAAAAAAUGUCCUAGUAUAGUAGUGCGUCAAAAAAUGUGAAAAAAUGUCAUAGUAUAGUAAGGCGUCAAAAAACGUGAAAAAAUGUCAUAGUAUAGUAAGGCGUCAAAAAUGGCCAAAAAAUGUCAUAGUAUAGGAAGGCGUCAAAAAAUGUGAAAAAAUGUCAUAGUAUAGUAAGGCGUCAAAAAACGUGAAAAAAUGUCAUAGUAUAGUAAGGCGUCAAAAAAUGUGAAAAAAUGUCCUAGUAUACUAAGGAGUCAAAAAAUGUGAAAAAAUGUCAUAGUAUAGUAAGGCGUCAAAAAUGUCAUAGAAUAGUAAGGCGUCAAAAAAUGUGAAAAAAUGUCAUAGUAUAGUAAGGCGUCAAAAAUGUCAUAGAAUAGUAAGGCGUCAAAAAAUGUGAAAAAAUGUCAUAGUAUAGUAAGGUGUCAAAAACGGCCAAAAAAUGUCAUAGUAUAGUAAGGCGUCAAAAAAUGUGAAAAAAUGUCCUAGUAUAGUAGUGCGUCAAAAAAUGUGAAAAAAUGUCAUAGUAUAGUAAGGCGUCAAAAAACGUGAAAAAAUGUCAUAGUAUAGUAAGGAGUCAAAAAAUGUGAAAAAAUGUCAUAGUAUAGUAAGGCGUCAAAAAAUGUGAAAAAAUGUCAUAGUAUAGUAAGGUGUCAAAAGCGGCCAAAAAAUGUCAUAGUAUAGUAAGGAGUCAAAAAAUGUGAAAAAAUGUCAUAGUAUAGUAAGGCGUCAAAAAAUGUGAAAAAAUGUCAUAGUAUACUAAGGCGUCAAAAACCAUGAAAAAAUUUCAUAGUAUAGUAAGGCAUCAAAAACCGUGAAAAAAUGUCAUAGUAUAGUAGUGCGUCAAAAAAUGUGAAAAAAUG